rnacentral:tRNA from 1 species
ACUCUGGUAGCUCAAUGAUAGAAUUCUCGCCUUCCACGCAGGAGACCAAGGUUUGAUUCCUGGCCAGUGUA